AGAGUUUGAUCCUGGCUCAGGACGAACGCUGGCGGCGUGCUUAACACAUGCAAGUCGAACGGAAAGGCCCUUCGGGGUACUCGAGUGGCGAACGGGUGAGUAACACGUGGGUGAUCUGCCCUGCACUUUGGGAUAAGCCUGGGAAACUGGGUCUAAUACCGAAUAUGACCAUGCGCCUCCUGGUGUGUGGUGGAAAGCUUUUGCGGUGUGGGAUGGGCCCGCGGCCUAUCAGCUUGUUGGUGGGGUAAUGGCCUACCAAGGCGACGACGGGUAGCCGGCCUGAGAGGGUGACCGGCCACACUGGGACUGAGAUACGGCCCAGACUCCUACGGGAGGCAGCAGUGGGGAAUAUUGCACAAUGGGCGCAAGCCUGAUGCAGCGACGCCGCGUGAGGGAUGACGGCCUUCGGGUUGUAAACCUCUUUCAGCACAGACGAAGCGCAAGUGACGGUAUGUGCAGAAGAAGGACCGGCCAACUACGUGCCAGCAGCCGCGGUAAUACGUAGGGUCCGAGCGUUGUCCGGAAUUACUGGGCGUAAAGAGCUCGUAGGUGGUUUGUCGCGUUGUUCGUGAAAACUCACAGCUUAACUGUGGGCGUGCGGGCGAUACGGGCAGACUAGAGUACUGCAGGGGAGACUGGAAUUCCUGGUGUAGCGGUGGAAUGCGCAGAUAUCAGGAGGAACACCGGUGGCGAAGGCGUGUCUCUGGGCAGUAACUGACGCUGAGGAGCGAAAGCGUGGGUAGCGAACAGGAUUAGAUACCCUGGUAGUCC
rnacentral:rRNA from 1 species